rnacentral:misc_RNA from 1 species
AAUUCUCAACUGCACUGGGUUUCUUCGACCUGGUGUGAAGUUGGACUUGGAGGAUAAUUGCUGGCGCACUCCCUCGGGAGGGCUUGUCGGCUCCUCUUGAAUGCAUGAGCUUUCCAGAUCGGUCAGCGACUCCGAUGUGAUAAAUAUCUACGUCGGUCGGUCCUUCCAAUCAAAGCUUCACCACUCGCUGACGCCUCGUGCGCCCUGCGACUUUGACAA